rnacentral:rRNA from 1 species
AUUGAACGCUGGCGGCAGGCUUAACACAUGCAAGUCGAGCGGGGGAAGGUAGCUUGCUACUGGACCUAGCGGCGGACGGGUGAGUAAUGCUUAGGAAUCUGCCUAUUAGUGGGGGACAACAUCUCGAAAGGGAUGCUAAUACCGCAUACGUCCUACGGGAGAAAGCAGGGGAUCUUCGGACCUUGCGCUAAUAGAUGAGCCUAAGUCGGAUUAGCUAGUUGGUGGGGUAAAGGCCUACCAAGGCGACGAUCUGUAGCGGGUCUGAGAGGAUGAGCCGCCAAAAUGGGAAUGAGAACCGGCCCAGACUCCUACGGGAGGCAGCAGUGGGGAAGAUUGGACAAUGGGGGGAACCCUGAUCCAGCCAUGCCGCGUGUGUGAAGAAGGCCUUAUGGUUGUAAAGCACUUUAAGCGAGGAGGAGGCUACUCUAGUUAAUACCUAGGGAUAGUGGACGUUACUCGCAGAAUAAGCACCGGCUAACUCUGUGCCAGCCGCCGCGGUAA